GACGAACGCUGGCGCAUGCCUAAUACAUGCAAGUCGAGCGAACAGAUGAAGUGCUUGCACUUCUGACGUUAGCGGCGAACGGGUGAGUAACACGUAAGGAAUCUACCUAUAAGCGGGGGAUAACAUUCGGAAACGGGUGCUAAUACCGCAUAAUAUCUUCUUCCGCAUGGAAGAAGAUUGAAAGACGGCUCUGCUGUCACUUAUAGAUGACCUUGCGGUGCAUUAGUUAGUUGGUGGGGUAACGGCCUACCAAGACGAUGAUGCAUAGCCGACCUGAGAGGGUGAUCGGCCACAUUGGGACUGAGACACGGCCCAAACUCCUACGGGAGGCAGCAGUAGGGAAUCUUCCGCAAUGGGCGAAAGCCUGACGGAGCAAUGCCGCGUGAGUGAAGAAGGCCUUCGGGUCGUAAAACCCUGUUAUAAGAGAAGAACAAAUUGUAGAGUAACUGCUACAGUCUUGACGGUAUCUUAUCAGAAAGCCACGGCUAACUACGUGCCAGCAGCCGCCGUAA
rnacentral:rRNA from 1 species